AACGAACGCUGGCGGCAUGCCUUACACAUGCAAGUCGAACGAUACCUUCGGGUCUAGUGGCGCACGGGUGCGUAACGCGUGGGAACCUGCCCUUAGGUUCGGAAUAACUCCCCGUAAGGGGUGCUAAUACCGGAUAAUGUCUUCGGACCAAAGAUUUAUCGCCUUUGGAUGGGCCCGCGUUGGAUUAGCUAGUUGGUAUGGUAAAAGCCUACCAAGGCGACGAUCCAUAGCUGGGCAGAGAGGAUAAGCAGCCACACUGGGCCUGAGACACGGCCCAGAAUCCUGCGGGAGGCAGCAGUGGGGAAUAUUGGACAAUGGGCGAAAGCCUGAUGCAGCAAUGCCGCGUGAGUGAUGAAGGCCGUAGGGUUGUAAAGCUCUUUUAUCCGGGAUGAUAAUGACAGUACCGGGAGAAUAAGCACCGGCUAACUCCGUG
rnacentral:rRNA from 1 species